rnacentral:siRNA from 1 species
UCACACGACUUUUACGGCGUUCGC